GAUGAACGCUGGCGGCGUGCUUAACACAUGCAAGUCGAACGAAGCAUUUGCGACAGCUUUUUUCGGAAUGAAGUUGCUUAUGACUGAGUGGCGGACGGGUGAGUAACGCGUGGGUAACCUGCCUUGUACUGGGGGAUAGCAGCUGGAAACGGCUGUUAAUACCGCAUAAGCUCUCAAUUUUGCUUGACAUGUUUUUAAAAACUCCGUUGGUAUAAGAUGGACCCGCGGCUGAUUAGCUAGUUGGUGAGAUAACAGCCCACCAAGGCGACGAUCAGUAGCCGACCUGAGAGGGGGACCGGCAACAUUGGGACUGAGACACGGCCCAGACUCCUACGGGAGGGAGAAGUGGGGAAUAUUGCAAAAUGGAGGAAACUCUGAUGCAGCGACGCCGCGUGAGUGAAGAAGUAAUUCGUUAUGUAAAGCUCUAUCAGCAGGGAAGAUAGUGACGGUACCUGACUAAGAAGCUCCGGCUAAAUACGUG
rnacentral:rRNA from 1 species